GGGGGACCCUACGGGUCUAGGGAAUACCCCGGAUCCGUUUUGCCCCCUGUCCCUAGCUUCAUAAUAAAAUUGUGGAGACUAUGUGGCAAAAGAAAAACAAGGGAUUUAAAAGAACGGGGGGGGGGNNNNNCCCCCCCGGGACCCGAAGGGUCCGCCACGCCCCGUCCCGAUUUAUAUGAAAAACCACUCUUUUUAUUAAGAUUACUGUCUAACACCGUACAAGUAAGAUAGUUUGGUUGGGGCGACCGCCUUCGAAAAAGUAUCGAAGGCGCACAUAAGAUUAAUCAGGAGAAGGAUCCGAAGGAUCUUUUUCUCGGGAGUAAUGUCCCAAAAAAGGAGAUUAAUUUGACUGAGAGGGCAACAACCCGAACAGACGUCAAAGGAUAGACCGGGGGGGGAAUCCUACAGAUUCCUUCCCCCCCU
rnacentral:rRNA from 1 species